ACAGACUGAUGAUAAAUAUAUCUGAACGCUUUGUUUUGGUCACCAUUUCCCAGGGGGAGGGAAAUCAGUGGCUGUUGCUGGAACAAUCACGGUUGUUCUUCUGGUUAUCGUGUUCCUCUCUGUCCUCGUGUGGAUCAGACAAAAGAGGGCUUCCAAUGAACCGUCUGAGGCUGAAGAGAGACAAGAACACACGGAGCAGGGACAACCAGAGGAGCAGGAAGACCUUCAGUAUGCCAGCAUACACUUCUCUAAAACCCAGGAGCCUCUGUACAGCAAUACCAGACCAGCUC